GAGCAAUCCGGUUCGCCGAUAGAUUCGGGCCGUGGACCAACACAGAUUAAGGUGGUGACCUAAGCCCGGGCUUUUGUUACGCCCGCGGAGACGUCGCUGCCUUAAUCGUGGUCUGCAGCACACGCCUCACAGAGUGCCUUGGCAUCUGCAUGCUCAGGGUGUCGGGCUGUGGGCUCCCCAUUCGACCCGUCUUGAAACACGGAACAAGGAGUUUGACAUGUGUGCGAGUCAACGGGUGAGUAAACCCAUGAGGCGCAAGGAAGCUGAUUGGCUGGAUCCCUCACGGGUGCACAACCGACCGACCUUGAUCUUCUGAGAAGGGUUCGAGUGUGAGCAUGCCUGUCGGGACCCGAAAGAUGGUGAACUAUGCCUGAGCGGGGUGAAGCCAGAGGAAACUCUGGUGAAUGCCCGCAGCGAUACUGACGUGCAAAUCGUUCGUCUGACUUAGGUAUAGGGGCGAAAGACUAAUCAAACCAUCUAGUGGCUGGUUCCCUCCAAAGUUUCCCUCAGGAUAGCUGGAGCUCAGAAACGAGUUCUAUUGGGUAAAGCCAAUGAUUAGAGGCAUCGGGACGCAAUGUCCUCGACCUAUUCUCAAAAUUUAAAUAGGUAGGACGGGGUGGCUGCUUUGUUGAGCCAUCCCACGGAAUCGAGAGCUCCAAGUGGGCCAAUUUUGGUAAGCAGAACUGUCGAUUCGGGAUGAACUGGAAGCCGGGUUACGUGUAACACCCGAAUCCGGCCUCUCGACGAAACUGGACCAGUUUUCUAUAUAAUCAAUCCUUUUCUUGUUUGAUUCAUUUUAAGU
rnacentral:ncRNA from 1 species